rnacentral:rRNA from 1 species
UACGAAGGGGGCUAGCGUUGCUCGGAAUCACUGGGCGUAAAGGGUGUCGUAGGCGGGUCUUUAAGUCAGGGGUGAAAUCCUGGAGCUCAACUCCAGAACUGCCUUUGAUACUGAAGAUCUUGAGUUCGGGAGAGGUGAGUGGAACUGCGAGUGUAGAGGUGAAAUUCGUAGAUAUUCGCAAGAACACCAGUGGCGAAGGCGGCUCACUGGCCCGAUACUGACGCUGAGGCACGAAAGCGUGGGGAGCAAACAGG